ACUGACAGAGCAGAGAUUUACAUUAGGUAUUAGGAAAAAAUUCUUUACUAUGAGAGCAGUGAGGAACUGGCACAGGUUGCCCAGAGAAGCUGUGGCUGCUCCAUCUGUCCUGGUGUUCAAGGCCAGGUUGGAUGGGGCUUGGAGCAAUCUGGUCUAGUGGAAGGUGUCGCUGCCUGUGGCAGCAGGGCUGGAACCAGAUGAUCUUUAAGGUCCUUUCCAACUGAAAUCGCUAUGUGAUUAUAAUUCUAGCGGAAGGUGAGCCAGGGUAAUCGGCCUGAACUAAAGCCGUGUAUGUGUUUUUCAGUGCUUUGACAGAUUUUGCUUUUCAGAAGGUUCAUCUUAACUUUUUGCUUGUAUACAGCAUCUGAUGUGCUUUGAAAUUUUAAGCAGAAACAUUGCAGAAAAUGUCACUUUCCCAUCACACUGGGUAAAAUACAAAAGGAAAACGAGGAGUAAGAUAACUACUUGUCACAGUUAUGACAGGUGAAUGCUUUAAAAAAGAUCAUAUCAGAGAGAUAUGAAGAAUAAGAUGUUCUGUAUUCCUUGAAACAGUUCAGUUAUAAGACAUUACAAAAAAGUAAUUAUGGCUUGUGUGGUUGAUGUGAUAGUCAAAUAUUUGAAGUGAUUUCUUUUUUAACAUUUGUUAUUCAUACAUCAAGAACAUGUUUACAAUUUGGACUUUGUUGAGUUUGUGGAUUUUCUCCUUUGAAGGCCACGUUUUCUCUGCUUGUUUAGCUGACUUUUAAAAUGUUUCGUUGAACUGCUGCAUAAGUAAUGAACAAACAACAGGUUCUGUGUGUGAACUUUUUAUAUUGAAUUAUCAGAAAAAAUCAUAUGCAGCUGUCAAAUAUUCAUAUUUGAAUUGAAAAGUAAUCUGGACUUAAGUUGAUGAUGUGCCAGUUUACUGGAUGAGUUUUGUUGCAGAAUACUAAUGUGGCAAUGGGAAAGAAAAAAGAGAAAAAAGCCAUGUAUUUAUUGAUUUAAUUUAAUUUCUGUGCUCAGAGUUUUGGUGCCAAGAGGCCUGGAGGGAGUCUUUUGCCUCAUAUGUGUUACUGAGACAAGGUAGUGCAAUCUCUUCUAUCAGUUUCAUAAUCCAAUCAUGCCUGUGCUUUAAAGUCAGCUAUUAGGGUUCUGUAUGCUGAUGAGUUUCUUCCCUAUGGUGGAAAAAAAUGAUGAAUGAUCUCAGGAGUUCAGAAUCGUUAUUCUGUUUCUUUAAAAUUAGAAUCUACAAAGCAGGUGCUUUAAAGGUGGGAAUGGGAAGUAUUUCUGUGAUAGUUCUUACAAACUUGUCUCAAAAUUCUGUUCAUUUGUAACUGAGGAUUACAGACUUCAGUGUUAAAUACUCUGUUAUAAUUUUCUGUGAUGGGCUUUUAUGGUCAAAGAUUAAUGUUAUGGAAAUUUAAUUCUUAAAUUGUCAGAUAUUGCUUCACAAUAUUUUUUCAUUUUUAACUGCAAAGUUGUAAUAGUUAAAAAUCAAGUUUCUUUAA